AAAAUGGGGAAUCAGACACGUGUCAGCCAAGGGAAGAUCCAAAAUGGAGAAAUAUCUUCUAAUGUGAAUUUACAUAAAUGCCCUUGACGUUCAAAAAUUUGUAAAAACUUCAUUUUAGCUCUGAAUUCAAAUCUGCUUGCGCCUACACAUUCGUAUCAACGAGUGCUACGUGAAUAAAUUAAAAGAAAAAUUCCUACAUUCAUAAAACGACAGUCAACGCUUUCGUUGUUAGGGGUAUUUUUGUAAAUUUAACUAAUUAAAACUUAAAAUUUAAGA
rnacentral:lncRNA from 1 species